rnacentral:rRNA from 1 species
UACAACUUUCAGCAACGGAUCUCUUGGCUCUCGCAUCGAUGAAGAACGCAGCGAAAUGCGAUAAGUAAUGUGAAUUGCAGAAUUCAGUGAAUCAUCGAAUCUUUGAACGCACCUUGCGCUCCUUGGUAUUCCGAGGAGCAUGCCUGUUUGAGUGUCAUGGUA